rnacentral:lncRNA from 1 species
CAAUGGGAAGAGAGUGUUGGGCAGGAAGACACCCUGGGGAGUCGUGGAGGGUGAGAGACAUAUAAGGGGGUAAAGUUAGUGGAAUGGUGGGGUGAGACAAGAGGGACAGCAGUGUCUCUAGCAGUGUCUCCAGUCCAGUCAGGAGAGUGUCAGUGUGAGAGGAGAGGGACAGCAGUGUCUCCAGUCCAGUCAGGAGUGUGUCAGUGUGAGAGGAGAGGGACAGCAGUGUCUCCAGUCCAGUCAGGAGUGUAUCUGUAACUUACUCUUGUUUGUUCAAUAUCUUCUUUUUCUCCAGUUGAAAAUCCGAGUCACUGUGAGUUUGCCCGGCUGCGAGAUUUUCUCAUCAGGUAAGCAACUACUGUUUCUGUUCUUCCUGUACUGUAGUGUCCCAUCAGUGUCUUUAUUAACCCCUCUCUCACAGUGCAGUGUGUCUGUAUUAACCCCUCUCUCUCUCUCAGUGGAGUGUCAGUGU